GAUUAACGCUGGCGGCGUGCAUAACACAUGAAAGUCGAACGAUGAAACUCAUUAGAUUUCUUCGGAAUGAAAAUGAAUGGAUUAGUGGCGAACGGGUGAGUAACGCGUGAGUAACCUGCCUUACACAAGGGGAUAGCCUCUGGAAACGGAGAAUAAUACCCUAUGAAACCAGACAAUCGCAUGAUAAUCUGGUCAAAAUGUUUAGUGGUGUAAGAUGGACUUGCGUCUGAUUAGCUAGUUGGUGAGAUAAAAGCUCACCAAGGCAACGAUCAGUAGCCGGCUUGAGAGAGUGUACGGCCACAUUGGGACUGAGACACGGCCCAGACUCCUACGGGAGGCAGCAGUGGGGAAUUUUGCACAAUGGGGGAAACCCUGAUGCAGCGACGCCGCGUGAUUUAGAAGGCCUUCGGGUUGUAAAAAUCUUUUGUAUAGGAAGAAAAUGACAGUACUAUACGAAUAAGGUCCGGCUAAUUACGUG
rnacentral:rRNA from 1 species